rnacentral:rRNA from 1 species
UACGGAGGAUGCGAGCGUUAUCCGGAUUUAUUGGGUUUAAAGGGUGCGUAGGCGGCUUAGUAAGUCAGCGGUGAAAUUUUGCAGCUUAACUGUAACAGUGCCGUUGAUACUGCCAGGCUAGGAUUUGGUUGCUGUGGGUGGAAUGUGUGGUGUAGGGUGAAAUGCUUAGAUAUCACACAGAAUAUCGAUUGCGAAGGCAGCUCACAAAGCCAAGAUUGACGCUGAGGCACGAAAGUGUGGAGAUCAAACA